rnacentral:rRNA from 1 species
UACGGGGGGGGCAAGCGUUGUUCGGAAUUACUGGGCGUAAAGGGCCAGUAGGCGGCCAACUAAGUCGGAUGUGAAAUCCCCAGGCUUAACCUGGGAACUGCAUCCGAUACGGGCAGGCUAGAGUUCGGUAGGGGAGACUGGAAUUCCUGGUGUAGCGGUGAAAUGCGCAGAUAUCAGGAGGAACACCGGUGGCGAAGGCGGGUCUCUGGGCCGAUACUGACGCUGAGGAGCGAAAGCGUGGGGAGCGAACAGG